rnacentral:rRNA from 1 species
CCCUUAGAUGUUCUGGGCCGCACGCGCGCUACACUGAUGCAUUCAACGAGUCUAAAACCUGGUCUGAUAGGGCUGGGUAAUCUUUUGAAAGUGCAUCGUGAUUGGGAUAGAUGAUUGCAAUUCUUCAUCUUCAACGAGGAAUGCCUAGUAAACGCAAGUCAUCAGCUUGCAUUGAUUACGUCCCUGCCCUUUGUACACACCGCCCGUCGCUCCUACCGAUUGAAUGAUCCGAUGAAUACCAUGGAUUGAGAGUUCGAACAGGUUCGCCUGUUUCAGCUUCUCGAGAUGUGGAGUAAAUCUUAUCAUUUAGAGGAAGGAGAAGUCGUAACA